GACGAACGCUGGCGGCGUGCUUAACACAUGCAAGUCGAACGGUGAUGGGUGGAGCUUGCUCUGCUUUGAUCAGUGGCGAACGGGUGAGUAACACGUGAGUAACCUGCCCCAGACUCUGGAAUAACCUCGGGAAACCGAUGCUAAUACCGGAUACGACGCAGAGCCGCAUGGUUUCUGUGUGGAAAGUUUUUCGGUUUGGGAUGGACUCGCGGCCUAUCAGCUUGUUGGUGAGGUAAUGGCUCACCAAGGCGACGACGGGUAGCCGGCCUGAGGGGGCGAUCGGCCACACUGGGACUGAGACACGGCCCAGACUCCUACGGGAGGCAGCAGUGGGGAAUAUUGCACAAUGGGCGAAAGCCUGAUGCAGCGACGCCGCGUGAGGGAUGAAGGCCUUCGGGUUGUAAACCUCUUUCAGCUCUGAAGAAGCGAAAGUGACGGUAGGAGCAGAAGAAGCACCGGCUAACUACGUGCCAGCAGCCGCAGUAAAAC
rnacentral:rRNA from 1 species